GUGGUUGUGGCUCAGUGGUAAAGCACUUGCCUAGCAUGUAUGAGGAACUGGGUUCAAUUCUCAACACCACA
rnacentral:tRNA from 1 species